CCUACGGGAGGCAGCAGUGAGGAAUAUUGGUCAAUGGACGCAAGUCUGAACCAGCCAUGCCGCGUGCAGGAAGACGGCCCUAUGAGUUGUAAACUGCUUUUGUACGAGGGUAAAUCCCGAUACGUGUAUCCGGUUGAAAGUAUCGUACGAAUAAGGACCGGCUAACUCCGUGCCAGGAGCCGCGGUAUUCCGGAGGGUUCAAGCGUUAUCCGGAUUUAUUGGGUUUAAAGGGUGCGUAGGCGGUUCGAUAAGUUAGAGGUGAAAUCCCGGGGCUCAACUCCGGCACUGCCUCUGAUACUGGCGGGCUAGAGUUUAGUUGCGGUAGGCGGAAUGUAUGGUGUAGCGGUGAAAUGCAUAGAGAUCAUACAGAACACCGAUUGCGAAGGCAGCUUACCAAACUACGACUGACGUUGAGGCACGAAAGCGUGGGGAGCAAACAGGAUUAGAUACCCGUGUAGUC
rnacentral:rRNA from 1 species